UACGGGAGUGGCAAGCGUUAUCCGGAAUUAUUGGGCGUAAAGCGUCCGCAGGCGGUCUUACAAGUCUGUCGUUAAAGCGUGGAGCUUAACUCCAUUUCAGCGAUGGAAACUGUAAGACUAGAGUGUGGUACGGGCAGAGGGAAUUCCCGGUGUAGCGGUGAAAUGCGUAGAUAUCGGGAAGAACACCAGUGGCGAAGGCGCUCUGCUGGGCCAUAACUGACGCUCAUGGACGAAAGCCAGGGGAGCGAAAGGG
rnacentral:rRNA from 1 species